rnacentral:antisense_RNA from 1 species
GUUAAUGGCGGCUGUGAGCGGGAUACCUCCGGGUGUGUCGGGUCCCGGAAGUCCCGGUCGGCCAACCUGCGUACAGCCGUCACCUAU